rnacentral:rRNA from 1 species
UCAGUCGACUCCUACGGGGAGGCAGCAGUAAGGAAUAUUGGUCAAUGGAGGGAACUCUGAACCAGCCAUGCCGCGUGCAGGAAGACAGCCCUCUGGGUCGUAAACUGCUUUUAUUCGGGGAAUAAACCUUUCUACGUGUAGGAAGCUGAAUGUACCGAAGGAAUAAGGAUCGGCUAACUCCGUGCCAGCAGCCGCGGUAAUACGGAGGAUCCAAGCGUUAUCCGGAUUUAUUGGGUUUAAAGGGUGCGUAGGCGGCUUAUUAAGUCAGGGGUGAAAGACGGUGGCUCAACCAUCGCAGUGCCCUUGAUACUGAUGAGCUUGAAUACACUAGAGGUAGGCGGAAUGUGACAAGUAGCGGUGAAAUGCAUAGAUAUGUCACAGAACACCGAUUGCGAAGGCAGCUUACUAUGGUGUUAUUGACGCUGAGGCACGAAAGCGUGGGGAUCAAACAGGAUUAGAUACCCUGGUAG